UACGUAGGGUGCAAGCGUUGUCCGGAAUUAUUGGGCGUAAAGAGCUCGUAGGCGGUUUGUCGCGUCUGCUGUGAAAACCCGAGGCUCAACCUCGGGCCUGCAGUGGGUACGGGCAGACUCGAGUCCGGUAGGGGAGUGUGGAAUUCCCGGUGUAGCGGUGAAAUGCGCAGAGAUCGGGAGGAACACCCGUAGCGAAGGCGGCACUCUGGGCCGGUACUGACGCUGAGGAGCGAAAGCGUGGGGAGCAAACAGG
rnacentral:rRNA from 1 species